GGGUGUUUUGUGAUCUUUGUAGGUAAGAAUCUCAUAUUAAACUCUUUUUCUUGUUGUGCAUCAUGAGAGUAGUUAUUUUGGGCUCUUGUUUUGUUUAAGCAGUAUUAUUUUGUCCAUCAACUUAUCUGUUCUACAUAUCUAUUGUAAUGUGAGUAGUUGUUUGUUUUGGAGGAGAUUAGGAUAAACUUUUGAUUCCAUAUAUGCAAAAGAUUUGUUCUGGGUUUUCUAAGCACUGGCCAUUUACAGUAGCAACCGAGCUCCUUUUCUAAUGGAAAUUGUUGUAAGUCUGAAUUGGUUGCACUGUCUGUGUACAUGUCAUUCUGCAUUAGAUUUCUUAAAGAUUGCUCUUUUGAGGCAAAAAUAACUGUUCCAAGUUGUGAUUGCAUUUUCCGAAAUCAAUUCAAUAGCUUUUAUGUACACAUCCUUGAAGUUGCAAUUUGCAACACCAACUCAACUCAACUAAGC
rnacentral:misc_RNA from 1 species